rnacentral:tRNA from 1 species
GGGGUCGUAGCUCAAUUGGUUAGAGCACCGGACUGUCGAUCCGGAGGUUGCGGGUUCGACCCCCGUCGACCUCG